CCCCAGCCCUGGUCUCUGUCCUGGGGGAGGCAGUGACUCUGCCGGCCUGCUGCCCACUUGAUGCUGUUCUGGUGAGAAGGGCCCUUCACCCGAGCAGUCAACGAGGAUGGAGAGCGAGCAGUGGCCUUGAGGUCCAAAGGCCAGGUUCAAGUCCUGGCCCCAUCAGCCACGGGCUGUGUGACAUUGGCCAGGAUGUCCCAUCUUCUGAGCCCUGUCUGUGACUCAAGGCUCUGGAUGGGGUGACCUAGAAGGUAUUUGUAACACCGAUUUCACAGGAGUCUAGGUAUUUUUCUCCCUAAGACUACUCUGUGCAAAGCACUGUGGGAAAUUCAGAGCCUUGAGGGACACGGUCCUUCCUGAGAUGAUGGAGUCCCAGGCAUGCAGAGACAGUCACUUCAGCGCAGCGGCCUCUGAGACUGUGCGCUGAACAGCUCCCACUCUCCAUCUGAGAAAAGAGGGAGGAAGCAGCAAAAAGAGCGACAUCUAUUUACUUGUGAACCGCCAGUCAGUCGGUUCGUUGGUCCCUUUGAUUGAUUUCCCAACUCACUAAGGCCUCACAGCAGUAGAUGAGAGAGUACUGUUAUCUUGCACAUUGCACAGAUGGGGAAACUGAGGCACACUGCCCAAACUUCUCAGGAGCAGAUUUCCACCAUUCCUGGUUUCCAGGUCUUUCCCCCAGGCCUCAGGGAUGGUCCCUUACAUUCUGCCAGACCCAGGGAGCUGCGAUUGUAAAAGCUAAUUUUUUUUUUUUUGAGGAAGAUUAGCCCUGAGCUAACACCUGCUGCCAAUCCUCCUCUUUCUGCUGAGGAAGACUGGCCCUGAGCUAACAUCUGUGCACAUCUUCCUCUACUUUAUACGUGGGACAGCACUACAGUAUGGUGUGCCAAGCGGUGCCAUGUCCGCACCCGGGAUCCGAACCGGCGAACCCUGGGCUGCCAAGAAGCGGAACACGUAAACUUAACCACCGCGCCACCAGGCUGGCUGCAAAAGCUAAUUUUUUAACAAACAGACCAGAACGUAUUAGGCAUCCAAUCAACCUUGGUGCCUGCAGGGUCAGCUCCAGGAGACCUCAUACUCAUUCUGACGACGGAGUCGUUGUCAAGACGAUUGUGGCCUCCUCUGGGAUGCUCAGAGCUGGGCUGAGAACCACACGGAAAUCCGUCCCUUUAUCCCACAGCCACAUCUCGCCUGCCCUCCCAGACCACUCGGAGCUGGCUCACAUUUCCUCCCGAUGACCUUGAACCCGAAUCACCUCCAGACACUUACAAAUGCCAAGCUCGCUCUCCAGGGCCAGCUGCACAGCCGCGCAGGGCCCAGUGCUGAGAAGAGCUGAUGCUUGCUUUAGUGCCCUCCUGUCGCUGACUUGAAAUUCUUGAGAAUCUUUGGACCCAGGCCUCUGCAUUUUUCCUUUGCAUUGGGACCCAAACAUUACGUAGCUGGACCUACCACCAUCCUGGGAGCAAGGUUUGCCCCUUCUCAGGUAUUGAGAAGCGCAGGCUACAGAUUAAAGGCAACUCCCUUCCCAAAAGAAAUGCCAAAGUGUCUGAUCAGUGGGUGUGUCACCAGAGGGUCCCACUCAAAAAAGACCGUGCUCAUUGGGAUCCAUAAGCACCACUGAGUUUGCUAAACAACACAGCUCUUACCGUUGCUCAGCUCAUACCCUGAGAGCCAAGUCACAACUUCAAUAUCUGAGCCAGGCCAGAGAUGGAACAUCAGCGGAGUGUGGCCAGGAGACUUCUGGUUAGUUUCUUCCUCUCCCUUUUUUUGACCCUGCCCCUGCUGCUUCAGGAUGAGUUUGAUCAGAGUGUUACUGAGCCCCUGGCUGUUCUGUUGAUAAAUUUGGGGCUGGGGAAGUUUCUGUUCUAUGCCCCAGAUUGUCUAUACUUGGGUGAAAUGAUGCCUCCUCCCUCUUUUGAGGAUGGAUCUCCAGGUUGGCUUGUCCCGCAGUCUCAUUCAGCUGAGGCCCAACUUGUGUCCCCAGGGCCAUCAUCCUCAACCAUCCAGGAGCUGCUGUGAGAACCCCCAGCCUCCACCACACAGUCCUGGCAAUGUCUCCCAGGUCGCCCUCCCCUCUCAAAGCUUUGAGCAACCAAAAUGAAAACGAGAGAGAUGGUUUCCCAGCACAAAAUGAAACUACGGGGCCCCUUGUUCAAAAAUUGCUAGGAAUUUCAAGACAGCAGAGCGUUAAACCAAGCAUGAGCCCUUCUAAACGCAGGCCCCGUGAGGCUGCACGGGCUGCACGCCCCUAAGGCCUAUGCCUUUUCCAGAGGCCUGUACUUUGUCACGGGGUGAAGCCAGGCUGUGCGUCUUUUGAAAAUAAUUACAGGCCUCAUUUUCCAUUCAUCUCUGUUGCGUGGGUCCCAGGCCAUCGGGCCUCGCACAGCUAAUCAAAGCCAGAGCCGGAGGCCCCCUGGUUUGAUCUCAGAAGGAGUGGAAGGAGGAUGCAGAGUUUUGCCCGUGAACUUCUUAAGGCUGCCGUGCGCUGCCCAGGGUGCCGGCACGGUGAAAACGCUGCCCUCACACCCGCCAACCUCUGCGGCAUUUUCACCCUUCCUGCUCCAAAGACGGCCUCUCCUGGUUGCUGUUAUUUCCGAUCCCAGAGAAAUGGUUCUCCGUUUCCUAAGCGUCCUCCUUUCGUUCUAUCCUUUGGUUGUUGGCAAAUGGAGUUUGUGUCCACCCAUGUGUACGUCUAGGUCUCGGUGUGGCGAGCCCAGGGGAGUGCUCCGGAAGCUGAGUUUGCGCGGGCACGCGGAAUCUGCGUAGCUUUUAUUUCUAUUCCAGUUGGUCUCGGUUGGAGGAUUGUGGGGCACCCAGGAGAGGGAGAUGAAUGUUCUCCACGGCCACCCCUCCUGUCGUCACCUAGAAGAGAAUUGAGAAGCCGUUUGUUUACCUCAUCAAAAAAUUCUGCUUGUCUUUUUUUUUAAUCUCUUAGAGAUAUCCAGACUCCAAUCUCAUCUCCUGACCUCCGUUCUGUCCUCACCAUCCUGGUUCAAACCACUACCAUCUAUGGCUAUGGCUUUCUAACUGGUCUUCCUGUUUCCAUCCUGCUUUUUUGCCCUACAGAAGCCCGUCAUUUUUUUUUUUUUUUAAAAACACUAGUUAGAUUUUUUUAUAUCAGCUCUGGAAAUGCUCCGAGUUGCAUAGGCUCUUGGAACAAAACCCAAACACGUUCCCACUGUCUACAAGGCCCUACAUGGCCUGGACCCACUACCUCGCUGACCUCGUCACGACGCCUCUCCUCCAGGCUCGCCUGCCCAGCCACGCUGGCCCCUUGAAGCCCCUUGAACAAAUCAAGCCUGUUAGUGGCUCAUGGCCUCUGCCUCUGCUGCCUGGAAUGCGCUUUUCACAUGUAUGCAUGUGUGGAAAUAAGCAGAGUAAUUGCCCCCAAAGAUGUCCAUGCACCAAUUCCUAGAGCCUGAGAAUAUAAUGAGAUUAACCCAGAUUAUUCGAUCGUUCAAGGGGCAGGGCUUCAUUUCCCUUAUUUAUUCCUUCGACACACAUUUAUUUGAGCACCUGCUUUGUGCCGGUGACUGUCGUAGCGUGUGACCCUGGGUGCGCUCUGCUUCUCUCUGAAGAUGAUACACAGGAGCAGAGGCUGGGACGAAACGUGAUGAUAAGGCUUGGCCAGGAGAAGACCAUCCCAGGCAGAGGAAGCAGGUGCAAAAGCCCUGAGGUGGGAAUGUUCUGGGCAUCUUCCAGGGAUGCAGUGGGACCAGUAAGGCUGGAUCGGAGUGAGAGAAGCUGGGGAGGGGGGGGGAGCGGAAUGACAGGAUGGUAAAUGAGAGGAGCACUGGGGCAGAACGGCAGGUCUGUGAGGACGCCGUGGAGUCUUGAGAUGAGCUGUCGGAGGGUUUCCGGUAGAGGAGUGGCGUGAUCGGUUUUGUAUUUUCACAGAAGCCUCUGGCUGCUGGAUGGAGAACACACUGCAGGCAGCAGGGGCAGAAUCAAGGGGACCAGUUAGGACCCUGUGGCAGGUGCCUAGCCGAGAGACAAUGUUGGUUCGUCUCAAGUUUUCUCAACCUUGACACUAUGGACAUUCGGGGCUGGGUCAUUCUCCAUGCUGGGGCCGUCCCGUGCAUCGUGGAAUGUUUAGCCCUCUAGAUGCCAGAAGCUCUUCCAGCCUGGUUGUAACAAUCAAAAUUUUGUUGAGACACUGCCAAAUGUCCCCCGGGGAGAAGAUGGCCCCACCUGAGAACCACCGCCCUGACUGAACUCUUCGCGCCGGUCCAGCUGCACCUCGCCCAGGGUUGGGAGCUGUGCUCCCUCCAGCUUGCUGUGGCCCUGAGCAGGAACUAGAAGGGCAUCUUCUCAUUUUAACAGGGAGGAAAGUAUUUCCCAGAAGCCCCCAGCUGACUGGACCUUACAGCUCCCUGGCCAGAAGUGGCCGAAUGCCCCCCCCGCUCGGGACUGUCAUGAUUGGCAGGGUUGAUGUGGCCCCAUGCGAUGGGCACAUUACUGCCCAAACAGAUCCAAUUUCUACCAGCAGAGAAGAGGUGAGCCACCAGGAGUCUCUGCCACAAACUCACUUGUUACAUCUGUUCCACCUGCUAGACUCGCAGUCCCCCCGAACGGCGUCAUAUCCUAUUUACAAGCCCCGGGUAUGCGGUGACCCGGUGCUUAACUUAACGGUAUUCUGUCAAAUGAACGAAUGCAGGAGCGGGAGUCUCGUCAGGGACAGCCAUGGCUGCUUUGCGUUCCGAGAACCUAAAUCAAAGCAUCCUUUGCAAGAUCUCGCAGGUGGCUUCCCUCUCGGCACGUCCUGUUCACGGGGAAGGCCUGUCUUCCUGCUCAGAAAGGACGUUGGAAGAUCUGAGCUGGCCCUUGCUGUGCAUUUGUACCCGCAUUAACCUCACUUAGUCCACAGGACAGCCCUGCCGUGUCACUGACAUUCAUAGGUGAAGUUUCUGGAAGGUGAUUAUGAAACAAGAGUUGCUGUUACAGAGAGAGGCCUAACCUGAGUUGCACUAAUUGUCAGGUAGGCGCUGCUUUUCCCCUUUAGAAAGCCAGUAGCUGCCAGAGAACCACGAGCUGUGCCCUGCCCACAGAGACUGGCGGCUGUGCUGCCCCGGGGCAGCAUUACUCACUUUAAUCCUCAAUUACAUGUGCACUGUUGUGUGCUGCUGACAGCUGUGCCACUCGUAUUUCAAACCCCUGCAGGGCCCCCCAUGGUGGACAGGUUCCGGCAGAGCUUCCAGACCAAGACAGACAGGGAAGAAGGAGCUGGUCACCCACUUCCUCAAAAAUUAGUCAAGAAAACCCCAUGAAUAGCAGUGAGCAUUAUCUGAUACAGCGCAGGAAGACGAGAGGAUGACGCGAACAGACGGGGCAGGGUCUGCUCUGCAGGGCACAGGUCGCCAGGGGUGGGAAUCAACUCGACGGCACUAACUGCAACAACACGGGCACUGGUGCGGCUUGCGUGUCUCUGUUUCAUCACAAGGUGAAAUCCACGGGUUUAAUCUUCCUUAUCUGUUUAUCCAGAAGAGAGCUCUUGGUGGGAUAAUAACGCAGACAGACACAUCGCCACCUUCAUCGCUGUGCUCAGAGCAGCGUCUUAACUGGUCACGGCCUUGUUGCCUUUCUCUAGUGAGAACUGAGGGUAACCAUCGCUGUUGUCAGAGGCCCCACAUGAAACAGCUCACGGGUGACUAUAAUUAAACCCGUUUAUAAUUCUCCCGCCUCCCAAACUUACCCUCCCUCAUGAAGAUGCUCUGUUAGGCACUGGGCGUCAGUAUAAAUUAGACUAUACAGUUAUGUGUAAUUACAGGGAAAAAUGGGUACCGCGCUGCAAAGAUGAGCCCUAUUUUGCCGAAGUAAAUCCAUCUCCAUGUCAGGAUCCCCGCCCAGGGAGGCAGCAUGAAAUACAAUUAUCUUUCUUCUGAC
ensembl:lncRNA